rnacentral:rRNA from 1 species
UACGUAGGGUGCGAGCGUUAAUCGGAAUUACUGGGCGUAAAGCGUGCGCAGGCGGUUUUUUAAGACAGGCGUGAAAUCCCCGGGCUUAACCUGGGAACUGCGCUUGUGACUGGAAGGCUAGAGUACGGCAGAGGGGGGUGGAAUUCCACGUGUAGCAGUGAAAUGCGUAGAGAUGUGGAGGAACACCAAUGGCGAAGGCAGCCCCCUGGGCCGAUACUGACGCUCAUGCACGAAAGCGUGGGGAGCAAACAGG